CCCAGUUUGUGAUUAAGUGAGGAUUCUUGGAACCUGGAAGACAAAGUGCAAUGCUUGAAACGGGCAUUUCUGACAGCAACAUCACUCACACACCAUCGGUGGGGCAGAGUUGGAGGUGCCACAGGACGAUUCGGCAAGUCCUCCCUUGGCAGUAGCAGAUUUCACACAUAUCUGGAUGCUGGCACUGCAACUUGAGCUGUCAAAUGUUGGACACCAGCUAGGGAUGUUGGCUUUGCUAAGAGAAGAGCAACUAUAACAAAAAAGUGAAGGUAAGUGCUAGAGGAAGGUGAAAGAGAAGCUGAAUGUCCAUGGUCACUCAGCCUCUGAUCCGAUUUCCCCUGUUUCACUGACCGGAGCAGGAAACUAGGGGUGUUGUGGCACCAGAACCGCCCGUCCUCCUGUUUGGCUCACACUGCCAUUGAACCGAGGUUUACAAGCACCAAAACCUCAGCAUUUAGUAAUACGUAACACUGACUUCACAGAAGGUAAGCACUGCUCCUUAAGUUAGCAAAAAAAUAGCUUGUUUCAAGUGUGAUAGGAUUUCCUGUCCUGCUCCACUGCUCAGUGGGCUGCUUUCCCUCAGCUAACCCAAAUCCCACUGACCCAGAAAGCGAGUGCAUUCAAGGAUUCACACUUAUCCCAUAAAGUAGCACUGCACGUGCAUUUGUCCUGAGAUGUUCCAUUACAUCAGCCUAUUCCUACUUCUUUUCUGCAACUGACAGAAGAGCCUAUUAUACCCGACAAAACCCUUGAAGAUCAAAAAUCAGUUGUUUUAUAAAUCCUUGGCAUGAUAACAGCGUUUUAAAGCUGCAGUUUUUCUUUAAUUAAUUUUGCAUGUGUAUAAAUACAAAAGAACAAACAGUAUAUUUUAAAAAAAAAAAACAGUUUGGGGAAUAUAAUCAACUCAGAAAAUUCCUAAAAUACACUAUAAUUAUAUCUUUGUUCAUUUUGUAUAUUCAUAUAACACAUUCCAGUCUCACGUUCUUCAUCCCUGAAAACUGCAACGAUAACUUCAGUCUGUGUUUUAUCCUAUAAACAGUUAAUUCUAUUCAUGAUUUUUCCAAUAAUAUUUAAGUUCUGAAUGCUAUACAAGUUGUAGGCAGGGUGUUUCAAUUCUUUUUUCACUACUAAAUACAUUUUAUGUCUCUAGUAAAUGUAAUGCAGACUGCACUCAACUUCCUGCAAAUUCUGCUGAAACCUUUCAGUGAUUGCCUAUGAGGGAAGUCAUUGCUGGAAGCACUGCUCGCUAUGUGGAAUUAUAGCAAAAAGCCAUGUGCACUACUCACCAUUUUUUCUCUCUCCAGCUCCAGACUGAAGCGAUCUUGUAAUUCAACUUGAGUCUGAAGUCUUUUCUUUUCCUCCUCUGCAGCACGUGCAGCUGCUGCUUCCAGUUGCUGGAAUAGAAAAAAGGAUCAAGAAAAGAAGGAAAAAACAAUUUGUAAAAACUAAGCCUUUGGAAGAAAUUGAAUUUAAUUAUUUUUAUUAAAAAAAAAAAAAAAGGAAGAAGCUUUCAGAAGUAUUAUGGUGCCAAA